rnacentral:rRNA from 1 species
AAUGGACGCAAGUCUGACCCAGCCAUCCCGCGUGUAGGAUGACGGCCCUUGGGUUGUAAACUACUUUUAUACAAGAAGAAACUGACGGUAUUGUACGAAUAAGCAUCGGCUAACUCCGUGCCAGCAGCCGCGGUAAUACGGAGGAUGCGAGCGUUAUCCGGAAUUAUUGGGUUUAAAGGGUGCGUAGGCGGGAAAUUAAGUCAGUGGUGAAAGCCCACAGCUCAACUGUGGAACUGCCAUUGAUACUGAUUUUCUUGAAUAUAUGUGAAGUAGAUAGAAUGUGUCAUGUAGCGGUGAAAUGCUUAGAUAUGACGCAGAAUACCAAUUGCGAAGGCAGUCUACUAACAUACUAUUGACGCUGAGGCACGAAAGCGUGGGGAGCGAACAGGAUU